CUCCCUGGCAAAGGGCAAGGAGACACCUGAUUGGUGGUGUUGCUCUUCUAUCAGUCAGGGCAAAGCAGAUGUACAGUCCUUACUUUAUUCUAGCUUGAUGCCUGUGUUGGUGGCUACAGCUGUUUCAUGGCUGGGGCACAUAA
rfam:Myotis brandtii contig255500, whole genome shotgun sequence.